rnacentral:rRNA from 1 species
CUACGGAAGGCAGCAGUGAGGAAUAUUGGACAAUGCCCGCAAGGGUGAUCCAGCCAUGCCGCGUGCAGGAAGACGGCCCUAUGGGUUGUAAACUGCUUUUAUACAAGAGAAAACCUCCCUACGUGUAGGGAGCUGAUAGUAUUGUAAGAAUAAGCAUCGGCUAACUUCGUGCCAGCAGCCGCGGUAAGACGAAGGAUGCAAGCGUUAUCCGGAUUCAUUGGGUUUAAAGGGAGCGUAGGCGGUCUUAUAAGUCAGUGGUGAAAGCUCCUCGCUUAACGAGGAAAUUGCCAUUGAUACUGUAGGACUUGAGUACAGUUGCUGUGGGCGGAAUAUGACAUGUAGUGGUGAAAUACAUAGAUAUGUCAUAGAACACCGAUUGCGAAGGCAGCUCACAAAACUGUAACUGACGCUGAGGCUCGAAAGUGCGGGGAUCAAACAGGAUUAGAUACCCCGGU